AGCAUCAUCGAAUUUACAACUAAAUUCAUAUUCUUCAUUAUUCUCCAAAACACCAUACGGUAAUAUGAUCAUUUGGCCACUUCUAAUAAGUGCCAUUGAUCGUAUCAUGUGUGUUGGAUGCGGGAAUAUAGGUGCUGGAUCCAUAAUCAUAUAUAAGAUCCAUUCGUGCUCUAAAACUAUUUAUAACUUUCGAUAUCAUCUAUCGAAGUUGGAUCCUAUAAAUAAGUCAAUCACUGUCAAAUAGUGAAGGAGCAAUGGACAUCUAGCCAUAAUUGAA
rnacentral:lncRNA from 1 species